UUUUGUACCAGGCAUGUAUGUCCACCACACAUUUUAUUUCACCGAUGUUUUUCACGUUCUUCAAAAAACGUUUGAUACUCAUUUAAUAACGUGGUAUUAAAAGAAGGAUCGAAGGGAGGUAAUUCUCCACCAUAGUCUUCAGUGAAACCUUGAUUUAUCAUCACCCUGUGAAAUCGUUCUUAAAUCGAAUGUGGCACUAAAUUGAAAGAACUCCAAACAAAAUGGUAGGAAUGCUGCUAAAAAUGCAUGGACUAAUGCUCCUAAGUUAACCACAUGUAUCGCUUUGUAACGUACAGGAUAAGCAUCCUAUUAAGUAUAUUAUCGCGCAAGAAGCAUAAUAGGAAUGCAUCAUCAAUAGGACAAUACAACUGUUUAUCAUCUAAAAAUAAUUAUUA